rnacentral:rRNA from 1 species
UACGGAGGAUGCAAGCGUUAUCCGGAAUGAUUGGGCGUAAAGCGUCCGCAGGGGGCUAUGUAAGUCUGCUGUUAAAGAGUCUAGCUCAACUAGAUAAGAGCAGUGGAAACUACAAGGCUAGAGUACGUUCGGGGCAGAGGGAAUUCCUGGUGUAGCGGUGAAAUGCGUAGAGAUCAGGAAGAACACCGGUGGCGAAAGCGCUCUGCUGGACCUUAACUGACACUGAGGGACGAAAGCUAGGGGAGCGAAUGGG